AUUGAACGCUGGCGGCAUGCUUUACACAUGCAAGUCGAACGGCAGCGCGGGCUUCGGCCUGGCGGCGAGUGGCGAACGGGUGAGUAAUGCAUCGGAACGUGCCCAGUAGUGGGGGAUAGCCCGGCGAAAGCCGGAUUAAUACCGCAUACGACCUGAGGGUGAAAGCGGGGGACCGAAAGGCCUCGCGCUAUUGGAGCGGCCGAUGCCGGAUUAGCUAGUUGGUGGGGUAAAGGCUUACCAAGGCGACGAUCCGUAGCUGGUCUGAGAGGCCGACCAGCCACACUGGGACUGAGACACGGCCCAGACUCCUACGGGAGGCAGCAGUGGGGAAUUUUGGACAAUGGGGGCAACCCUGAUCCAGCCAUGCCGCGUGCGGGAAGAAGGCCUUCGGGUUGUAAACCGCUUUUGUUCGGGAAGAAAUCCUCUGGGCUAAUACCCCGGGGGGAUGACGGUACCGGAAGAAUAAGCACCGGCUAACUACGUG
rnacentral:rRNA from 1 species